AUGACGUCAAAUCAGCACGGCCCUUAUGUCCAGGGCUACACACGUGUUACAAUGGCCGGUACAGAGGGCAGCUACCUGGAGACAGGAUGCGAAUCUCCAAAGCCGGUCUCAGUUCGGAUCGGAGUCUGCAACUCGACUCCGUGAAGCUGGAUUCGCUAGUAAUCGCGCAUCAGCCAUGGCGCGGUGAAUACGUUCCCGGGCCUU
rnacentral:rRNA from 1 species